rnacentral:rRNA from 1 species
GCCGCUCAAGGAGGGGGCUGCGGCCGAUUAGCUAGUUGGUGAGGUAACGGCCCACCAAGGCGACGAUCGGUAGCCGGCCUGAGAGGGCGCACGGCCACACUGGCACUGAAACACGGGCCAGACUCCUACGGGAGGCAGCAGUGGGGAAUUUUGCACAAUGCCCGAAAGGGUGAUGCAGCAACGCCGCGUGAGGGAUGAAGGCCUUCGGGUCGUAAACCUCUUUCGACCGGGAAAAAUGGGCGGGUGAAUAGCCCGUUCUGAUGGUACCGGUGGAAGAAGCCCCGGCCAACUACGUGCCAGCAGCCGCGGUAAUACGUAGGGGGCGAGCGUUGUUCGGAAUUACCGGGCGUAAAGGGCGUGUAGGCGGUGCGGUAAGUCGGGCGUGAAAUCCCCGGGCUUAACUCGGGGCGGUCGUUCGAAACUGCCGUGCUAGAGUGCGGGAGAGGGAAGUGGAAUUCCCGGUGUAGCGGUGAAAUGCGUAUAUAUCGGGAGGAACACCUGCGGCGAAGGCGGCUUCCUGGACCGCAACUGACGCUGAGGCGCGAAAGCUAGGGGAGCAAACAGGAUUAGAUACCCUGGUAGUCCUAGCCCUAAACGAUGAGAACUUGGGUGUGGCCCCGUACGGGGCCGUGCCGAAGCUAACGCAUUAAGUGCUCCGCCUGGGGAGUACGGUCGCAAGGCUGAAACUCAGAGGAAUUGACGGGGGCCCGCACAAACGGUUGGAGCAUGUGGUUCAAUUCGACGCAACGCGGAAGAACCUUACCUGGACU